UGCCAGCAGCCGCGGUAAUACCGGCAGCCCAAGUGAUGGCCGCUGUUAUUGGGCCUAAAGCGUUCGUAGCCGGCCGGACAAGUCCGUUGGGAAAUCCACGCGCUCAACGCGUGGGCGUCCAGCGGAAACUAUCCGGCUUGGGGCCGGAAGACUCGAGGGGUACGUCCGGGGUAGGAGUGAAAUCCCAUAAUCCCGCACGGACCACCGAUGGCGAAAGCACUUCGAGAAAACGGAUCCGACAGUGAGGGACGAAAGCCAGGGUCUCCAACCGGAUUAGAAACCCGAGUAGUCC
rnacentral:rRNA from 1 species